AAAUUGAAGAGUUUGAUCAUGGCUCAGAUUGAACGCUGGCGGCAGGCCUAACACAUGCAAGUCGAGCGGUAGCACAGAGAGCUUGCUCUCGGGUGACGAGCGGCGGACGGGUGAGUAAUGUCUGGGAAACUGCCUGAUGGAGGGGGAUAACUACUGGAAACGGUAGCUAAUACCGCAUAAUGUCGCAAGACCAAAGUGGGGGACCUUCGGGCCUCAUGCCAUCAGAUGUGCCCAGAUGGGAUUAGCUAGUAGGUGGGGUAACGGCUCACCUAGGCGACGAUCCCUAGCUGGUCUGAGAGGAUGACCAGCCACACUGGAACUGAGACACGGUCCAGACUCCUACGGGAGGCAGCAGUGGGGAAUAUUGCACAAUGGGCGCAAGCCUGAUGCAGCCAUGCCGCGUGUGUGAAGAAGGCCUUCGGGUUGUAAAGCACUUUCAGCGGGGAGGAAGGCGGUGAGGUUAAUAACCUCACCGAUUGACGUUACCCGCAGAAGAAGCACCGGCUAACUCCGUGCCAGCAGCCGCGGUAAUACGGAGGGUGCAAGCGUUAAUCGGAAUUACUGGGCGUAAAGCGCACGCAGGCGGUCUGUCAAGUCGGAUGUGAAAUCCCCGGGCUCAACCUGGGAACUGCAUUCGAAACUGGCAGGCUAGAGUCUUGUAGAGGGGGGUAGAAUUCCAGGUGUAGCGGUGAAAUGCGUAGAGAUCUGGAGGAAUACCGGUGGCGAAGGCGGCCCCCUGGACAAAGACUGACGCUCAGGUGCGAAAGCGUGGGGAGCAAACAGGAUUAGAUACCCUGGUAGUCCACGCCGUAAACGAUGUCGAUUUGGAGGUUGUGCCCUUGAGGCGUGGCUUCCGGAGCUAACGCGUUAAAUCGACCGCCUGGGGAGUACGGCCGCAAGGUUAAAACUCAAAUGAAUUGACGGGGGCCCGCACAAGCGGUGGAGCAUGUGGUUUAAUUCGAUGCAACGCGAAGAACCUUACCUGGUCUUGACAUCCACAGAACUUUCCAGAGAUGGAUUGGUGCCUUCGGGAACUGUGAGACAGGUGCUGCAUGGCUGUCGUCAGCUCGUGUUGUGAAAUGUUGGGUUAAGUCCCGCAACGAGCGCAACCCUUAUCCUUUGUUGCCAGCGGUUCGGCCGGGAACUCAAAGGAGACUGCCAGUGAUAAACUGGAGGAAGGUGGGGAUGACGUCAAGUCAUCAUGGCCCUUACGACCAGGGCUACACACGUGCUACAAUGGCAUAUACAAAGAGAAGCGACCUCGCGAGAGCAAGCGGACCUCAUAAAGUAUGUCGUAGUCCGGAUUGGAGUCUGCAACUCGACUCCAUGAAGUCGGAAUCGCUAGUAAUCGUAGAUCAGAAUGCUACGGUGAAUACGUUCCCGGGCCUUGUACACACCGCCCGUCACACCAUGGGAGUGGGUUGCAAAAGAAGUAGGUAGCUUAACCUUCGGGAGGGCGCUUACCAAUUUGUGAUUCAUGACUGGGGUGAAGUCGUAACAAGGUAACCGUAGGGGAACCUGCGGUUGGAUCACCUCCUUACCUUAAAGAA
rnacentral:rRNA from 1 species